rnacentral:sRNA from 1 species
UCCAAGUAUUUACCAAUUGUUAACAUUUAUAAUCUAUUACUGGUCUUGUCCAGCCUUCUGGAUCUGCGAGUGGCUCCCGUCACUCCUUUUUGAUGCCUCCCUGUCUACUUAGAGCCGCGCUUCGACGCGGCUCUUUUUUC